UGAUGCCCAAGGGUUGACCUAGGAUGAGAGACGUCCAUACCAUCAUGUUUCCUACGCGUUUCCCGAAGGUCUUGUGGGCGAACGAACUGAUAUAGACCAACGGGACCUGAAAAAAGGGUGGAUUUAGGUGGAUUUACGUGGAUUUACGUGGGUUUACAUGGAUUUUGAGGGUGUGGGGGGAUUAGUGAAGGGUUAAUCCCCAAGUACAGGCUACCCAGACCCCCCAGACCCGAGGGAUUUUGAGGAGACUGACUGUUGAAUGGAAGGGAUUUAGACCAAUGUGACCUUCAAUGGAGAGGGAUUUAAGUGGAUUUACGUGGGUUUACAUGGAUUUUGAGGGUGUGGGGGGAUUAGUGAAGGGUUAAUCCCCAAGUACAGGCUACCCAGACCCCCCAGACCCGAGGGAUUUUGAGGAGACUGACUGUUGAAUGGAAGGGAUUUUGACCAAUGUGACCUUCAAAGGAGGGGGAUUUAAGUGGAUUUACGUGGGUUUACAUGGAUUUCGGGGGUGUGAGGGGAUUGAUAAAGGGUUAAUCCCCAUGUACAGGCUAUCCAGACCCCCUUCAGACCCCUAAGACCCUGAAGAUCGUAAGGGAUUUUGAGGAGACCGGAUGUUGAAUAUAAGGGAUUUAGACCAAUGUGACCUUCAAUGGAGAGGGAUUUAGGUGGAUUUACGUGGGUUUACAUGGAUUUCGGGGGUGUGGGGGGAUUAGUGAAGGGUUAAUCCCCCCGUACAGGCUACCCAGACCCCAAUGACCCGAGGGAUUUUGAGGAGACUGACUGUUGAAUAGAAGGGAUUUAGACCAAUGUAACCUUCAAUGGAGAGGGAUUUAAGUGGAUUUACGUGGGUUUACAUGGAUUUUGAGGGUGUGGGGGGAUUAGUGAAGGGUUAAUCCCCAAGUACAGGGUAUCCAGACCCCGAAGACACAGAAGAAAAUAAAAAUGAAAGGGCAGACUUUAGGAAUCAGAAUUACGUUAAAUUUAAUUCGAAAGCAAAAAUGGUGAAAAAAAAUGUCUGUAAAAUUCUGUUGACAUUUUUAAAGAUUGUGAGCGAUUGUGAGCAUCUAGGAUUGAGAUUUUUUGUGAGUGGGAAGUUCAAUGAUUGGUCUUGACUGUCUAAAUACCUCAACUUCCUACAAGGUCAACAAAGGUCACAAAACGGUCACCAAAAAACAAUCGCUACAUAUCUGGACCAUCAUGCCGAGGAAGACGCUAAGGGGGUUAUAAAAUUCUUCUGACAUUUUUAUUGAUUGUGAGUGAUUGUGAGCAUCUAGGAUUGUGAUUUUCGGUGAGUGAGAAGUUCAAUGAUUGGUCUUGAUUGUAGAAAAACCUCAACUUCCUACAAGGUCUAGAAAGAUCACAAAAAAGGUACCCAAAUAACAGUAAAUUUUAAAGGAUGUGAAUUUUUCGGGGGGGUGACAUCAAAAUAUCUCUUGACAUUCUUAAAGAUUGUGAGUGAUUGUGAGUGUCCAGGAUUGUGAUUUUUUGUGAGUAAGAAGUUCAAUAAUUGGUAUUUCCUGCAUAAAAACCUGAACAUCCUACAAGGUCAGCAAAGGUCAUAAACAAGGUACCAAAAUAACACUAAAAUUUUCAAGGGAUAUGAAUUUUUUUUGGGGGUGGCAUCAAAAUAUCUCUUCACAUUUUUAAAGAUUGUGAGUGAUUGUGAGCAUCUAUGAUUGUGAUUUUUUGUGAGUGUUAAGUUCAAUGAUUGGUCUUGAUUGUGUAAAAACCUGAACUUUCUAGAAGGUCAACAAAGGUCAUAAAAAACGUACCAAAACAAAAAAGAUGAAUUUCAAAGGGGUAUAAAAUUAUGUUGACACUUUUAUUGAUUGUGCGUGAUUGUGAGUGUCUACGAUUGUGAUUUUCGGUGUGUGAGAAGUUCAAUGAUUGGUCUUGACUGUGUGAAAAUUUGAACAUCCCACAAGGUCAACAAAGGUCACAAAACAGGUCACCAAAAAACAAUCGCUACCAACCUGGACCAUCAUGCCGAGGAAGACGCCAAGGGGGUUAUAAAAUUCUUCUGACAUUUUUAUUGAUUGUGAGCGAUUGUGAGUGUUUAGGAUUGUGAUUUUCCGUGAGUGAGAAGUUCAAUGAUUGGUCUUGAUUGUGUGAAAAUUUGAACAUCCCACAAGGUCAACAAAGG